UAACACAUGCAAGUCGAGGGGAAACGACAUCGAAAGCUUGCUUUUGAUGGGCGUCGACCGGCGCACGGGUGAGUAACGCGUAUCCAACCUGCCCACCACUUGGGGAUAACCUUGCGAAAGUAAGACUAAUACCCAAUGACGUCUCUAGAAGACAUCUGAAAGGGAUUAAAGAUUUAUCGGUGAUGGAUGGGGAUGCGUCUGAUUAGCUUGUUGGCGGGGUAACGGCCCACCAAGGCUACGAUCAGUAGGGGUUCUGAGAGGAAGGUCCCCCACAUUGGAACUGAGACACGGUCCAAACUCCUACGGGAGGCAGCAGUGAGGAAUAUUGGUCAAUGGACGAGAGUCUGAACCAGCCAAGUAGCGUGCAGGAUGACGGCCCUAUGGGUUGUAAACUGCUUUUAUAAGGGAAUAAAGUGAGCCUCGUGAGGCUUUUUGCAUGUACCUUAUGAAUAAGGACCGGCUAAUUCCGUGCCAGCAGCCGCGGUAAUACGGAAGGUCCGGGCGUUAUCCGGAUUUAUUGGGUUUAAAGGGAGCGUAGGCCGGAGAUUAAGCGUGUUGUGAAAUGUAGAUGCUCAACAUCUGCACUGCAGCGCGAACUGGUUUCCUUGAGUACGCACAAAGUGGGCGGAAUUCGUGGUGUAGCGGUGAAAUGCUUAGAUAUCACGAAGAACUCCGAUUGCGAAGGCAGCUCACUGGAGCGCAACUGACGCUGAAGCUCGAAAGUGCGGGUAUCGAACAGGAUUAGAUACCCUGGUAGUCCGCACGGCAAACGAUGGAUGCCCGCUGUUGGUCUGAAUAGGUCAGCGGCCA
rnacentral:rRNA from 1 species